rnacentral:lncRNA from 1 species
CUCUGUGCUACUUUUAUCUCUGAGAUGAGACCUAAAGACGUUUCAGCUGCGCUACAGUAAGACCCUCUUUGUUUGUCAACAUGUCCCUGAAAAUACCUGGCUUGAUUACUCUUAGAACAUUUCUGACUAUCUCUGACUCUGUAAGGACUGACGCCGGAGAUAAGAAGCAGGUACAGGGAGUCAAACAUUUAAUCGGGAACAGACAUAGAACAAGAGAGGAACAGCGUCAGCACACGGGUAAACAAGGCGGCCUUCCCUGUGGCUCAGUUGGUAGAGCAUGGUGUUUGCAACGCCAGCAUGGUGUGUGCAACGCCAGGGUUGUGGGUUUGAUUCCCACGGGGGGCCAGUACAAAAAAAAUAUUUUAAAUGCAUGAAAUGAAAUGUAUGCAUUCACUACUGUAAGUCGCUCUGGAUAAGAGUGUCUGCUAAAUGACUAAAAUGUAAAUGUAAGGACAUAUGACAAUCAAUGCAGAAGCAGGGAACAUAUCAGGGAACCAGAUGGAUAUAGGGAAGGUAAUGACCGAUGCAACCUACCAACCAAUUUGAUGAAAUUUCUUUCAUUAUAUUUACUCAUAUGAAUCACGAUUUAAAGGCUUCAUCUGUCUAUAAUCAUGUUGUUGCCUGUCCACUUGAAGCAUCAACAUGACAGUGCCAUCUGUGCCUCCAUUAAUGCUCCAAUCAAAAUCCCACUCAGAAAGUUAGUGUAAGUGAAGCUACUGUUGUUACAUCUGCUCCUGCCAUGCCCUCUACUGCUUAUCCUGUGUCUCCUUGACCUGCCGCCACUCCCCCAGUGCCCUCUCCCUCUGUGUGUGUGAUUGUGUGGGCGGAGACAGGUGUUCUGGAGUCAGACCAGCUGCAACCUGUUCCAUAAUCAAGACCUCUACAAAUACUCAGUCCUGCCACUUCCACACUGCCAGAUCGUAAUCUCUGCUCAUCUCAUGUCUCCUCAUCCUGCUACUCUGCCCUGGAUUCCCCACUCUACUGCUCCCUUGGAUUUCCCUCCGGACCUGCUUACCCUGUCCCAACUCCUCUCGCCUCAGCCUCCGCACCUGGUCUCCUGCAACCUGCCCCAGCUUCCCCUGGCCUGCACUCGAUCUUCCCCC